rnacentral:rRNA from 1 species
UACGUAGGGACCAAGCGUUGUUCGGAUUUACUGGGCGUAAAGGGCGCGUAGGCGGCAUGACAAGUCACUUGUGAAAUCUCCGGGCUUAACUCGGAACGGUCAAGUGAUACUGUCGCGCUAGAGUGCGGAAGGGGCAAUCAGAAUUCUUGGUGUAGCGGUGAAAUGCGUAGAUAUCAAGAGGAAUACCUGAGGUGAAGACGGGUUGCUAGGCCGACACUGACGCUGAGACGCGAAAGCGUGGGGAGCGAACAGG